AAACAGUAACGAACGGCAUUGUAGAAAAGAGAGAGCCGUAAUGCAGAAGAGAAGUUGUGUAUUCUUUCGGUGUACACAUGCAUUUUCAAUUUGCUGUGAAACAUAUGAACAUGCACAGGGAACAAUACUAUAUAUUUGUUUAAGGAGGAUAUUUUUCUCGUGUGAAUCCUUUACGAGGAAAUUCUGACAGCCACACUUCUGUCGACGAUCAUUAAAGUGUGUGAUUUAUCAGUUUAUGUGGAUGUUACUGAAGAAGCUCAAAACAGACUCUUGUUACCACAUGGCUUUUACCGGUACCUGUUGAUUCUUGUGGGUCAGCUCCUGAGAUUAACCUGUCACCUCUAUCCACAUGCAUAUUCCUUGUGUUCUACAGACUAUUUACCGGUAAUUCAAAUUAAAUCCGAUAAUGCAUGAACAAUAAUGGAACUUGAAGAAAGCAUCAUGCCAUGUUGUGGUUUGUGUUUGAUAAGAAAUUAUGAAAGCAAAAUUAAGGCUGUUUAAAGAAAUUCAUAAUUGCUGUGAAAAUUUGUUUUUCAAUAAAAGUAUACAAUUAU
rnacentral:sRNA from 1 species